rnacentral:rRNA from 1 species
ACGCGUGGGUAACCUGCCUCAUACAGGGGGAUAACAGUUGGAAACGGCUGCUAAUACCGCAUAAGCGCACAGUACCGCAUGGUACGGUGUGAAAAACUCCGGUGGUAUGAGAUGGACCCGCGUCUGAUUAGGUAGUUGGUGGGGUAACGGCCUACCAAGCCGACGAUCAGUAGCCGACCUGAGAGGGUGACCGGCCACAUUGGGACUGAGACACGGCCCAA